UUUCCAUCAAAUUUUGAUAGGAGCUUUCAAUAUUUUGGUGCUUACAAAAUUUCAGUUUUAUAAAUAUAAUUUUAGAAAUUGUUUAACUUAUACAUAUGAUGCGCUUAACCUGACAAACACGCUAAAUUGAGAGACUAUAUGAAUAUGUGAUUAUUUGAACAUUGCUUGAAGUCAUCUUUUUAUUUACCUAUAAUAAGUUGAAAAAUACCUAUGUUUAUUUAAACAACAUGAAGCAGAAUAAUAUAAUUCAUGAACAUAAUCAGGAAAUUUGAAUUAUAAUAAAUACUUGCAUUCUUAUUUAUUGUAAAAUGAAGAACCAGGCGGCAGCUAUUUUUGCAGUAUUUACCUAUAACACGGAAUCCUUAUGAAGGUGUGUCAAUAAUUAUGCUAUAAAUUCUGCUUAGUACCCGAAAUAAUCG